rnacentral:lncRNA from 1 species
GAACAUUUACGGUUGCCACAGAUACUGCCCAAACGAGGUGAUGGUAUAGCAUUAACAAGUGCAGCAACGAUUUUCUCGACAUUUACUGCAAGAAGAGCAUCAUAACGGUCACUCGAAUCCUCUCCUUCUUCUGCUCCAGCUAAAUUAGCCAGUCCGCGGAUGGCAAUCACUUCUGACUUGCCAUUCGACAAGGAUGUCUGCACAUAACCAAAGACAAGUCAACUUGCUGCUCCCAUGUAUGCACUACUGUUUUCUUGGGGUCAGUUUGAGAGGAUAAAUUUGAGAUCAGAUAUUCAGUUGCAGGGAAGAUUCUUCAAAUUGGUUCUAGUUUGAUGAAGAAACGCUUUCACAAAAGAAUAAAGUAGAAGAAAGCAGUGAGGAUGAAAGUACUCUGGUAACAAGACAAUAAAAAUUACCAUGAAUACUGCUGCGCUCUCCAUAUCAAUGGAUGAAACAUUGAAAGUACUGUGGAGGAAAUUGCUGUAAGCUGCAUUCUCAACAAAAAAGUCGGCAGUUGUGCCCUUGACUCCAAGAACUAGCUUAGGCUGUUUCGGGAGGCAAACGCCAGCUAGGCACAGGUCUAGCUCAAUUCCCUGUUUGAACAAAACUACCACCGUCAGAAUCAAAAAGAAUUUACUAAAUUGAAAUGUGCGAAAGGGGUUAUUUUAUUUUCGCUUGAAAUAGAAUUUGGCAACAUAAAAUAAAGGUAAUUCUAGAUCUGAAUCUGUGCCUUAUUACCUCUAGAGUGGAAGCGAUUUGCAGCAAAUUCUCGGAUGCCGGGAACCAAAAUUUUCUUUCAGGAACAUCAGGCUCUCCUGUCACGGAAAAGAAGUGCUCUUUCAUAUAAGCCACGCGACCCAACAGAUUAAAUCCGAAUGAGGGAAUGUGAUAGCGUCUGAACUCUAGGUCAGCAACCCCAUUAUCUGGCUGUGGUGCUGUCUCGGAUUUCUGCAAUAUGCAUGCAUGCAUGCCCAGAUGAAGAUACACGCAAAAAUGUAAUUCCUCGAAUAUUGAAAAAAAAAAAAACACGUAGAAUAAUUUUGAAGCAAGGAAAGGACUAAAAUUUUGUCCACUUCACAGAAACAUAAAUAAAUAAAGAAAAUGCGGAAUUCAAUUGCACCAUCAGGUAUUUAGACUUUCCAUUAAUCGGAGCUGCUGUCUACUGCAUACGGAGUGAGGAGAAAAGCAUCAUCCAAAUUCAAAAGGCAACUGGUUCAUAAGCCUUGCUUGCGAAUUUCAGUAAUUAGCACAUUUUUCAAGCCUUUUUUCUCUUUCUUUCUUUCCUUUUUUUUUUUUUAUAAGUGAGAGAUCAUAAAUCUAAAAUCUUCUACUUACAGUUCAUUUCACCUUAUCACCCAACUCAACUCUCCCCUCUUCAACGUUUUGUUUCCACGGUUCUUUUAUCAAGUUGAGUGUAGUGAUUGAAUUGUUGGCAGUUGGCGCUGAUUGUGUGCGCUUGAUUUUGAGAAUCAUUCUCAUUGAAAACGCUUAGACGCUUAUGCUUUAUGAAUCUUUAGGUUUUACCUUUAAGGGAAAAAAAAAAAAAACAAAGAAACAAAGGAAUUAAUAUUACCAGCCAGUCCCAUAAUCCAGUUUGAGAAAACUGCGUUGGGAUUAAAACAUCUCCUAAGGACAGGGAACUGUCGGCGCCGCCCGCACUGCCAUAGUGUAUAACUGCUCUAAUUGGGAAGAUGUCCAACAGUAGUUGGGUCGUUGCUGCAGCAUUCACCUGAUUAAUCCAAUCCAAGCAAAAUUAUUGAAACCUUUUUUUUACUCGUACAAAAGCUCCCAAACUAACGAAGGGUGGCAAAACUAGAAACUGGAACCCAUUGGAACUCAAUCACGCUUACCAGGCCAGUUCCACAUCCGACGAUAAUGACACCAUUAGACCCUAUGGUCCCGAUGUGAAAACGCCUGCCUGCAAUGAAAUAAAUUAUUAGGUGAUAAAAAGUCAGCAACAAAUUUCGAUCAUUAUUAUGAGGAAGCUAGGAAAAAAAAACAGUAGUGGAAUUAAUGGUUGCGUAGCAGAUUUAAUGCAUGGGAAAUAUAUAUUUAUAUAUAUAGAUAUUUGCCUGACAAAUCCACGUAGGGGAAAUCUGGAUCAGGCUUGAAGGCACCAUCAACAGAAAAGGGUGUCUCCUGAUUGCCGCUACCAGAGGAGAUAAGACCAAGAAAAGGCGGUCUAACAGACAACUCCUUGAUUGCCCGAGGCAAAGGAGCGGCUAAAACAUUGACCGCUAGAGAAGAAAUCACAACUGAAACCAGUAAAAGCAAUUUCGUUUGUUUUCCAGCCAUUUUAUGCUACUUGUAUCGCUCUCCUAAUCUCCUUGCUCUCUCAACUCGACUGCAUGGUGCCUAUUUAUAGCACAAAUUGCGGUAAGAUUUGCCAGCUACCAUCUGUAAAUACACUCUUUUAACUUUUCACCACAAACCAUAUUCUCUCCUGCGUUAUUAAUAUUGUCGCUUUCCAAAUUAUGUUUCUGGGUCCAAAUUAACCGCACCGUCAGAAACAAAUUGACUCGCUAAAGUCAGUAAUCAGUAAUGUGGUCCAACAUUUCAAUUAUUUUCACAAGAAUUAAGGUCUACCAGUUGUAGCACUUCCUCGAUCAUCAGAUAUCAUUACUUACAAGUCAUAAUAUGGUUAUCAUUUCAUGUUCUUUGCAACCAGCCACACUGUAAUCUCAGACAUGCUUCCUUAAACAUGGACCGAAUUGUGUUGUUAAAAGUUUAAGCAUUAAAAAAAAAAUUUUGAUUUUGAUGCAUCAUUUAACUACACGGUUUCCUAAUUCUUUAAAAAAAAAAAAAAACCUAACAAGUAUGCCUGAAAUUUCAGAGCUUUCGAGGAAGCAAACGGCUGGCUUUCUGGCCGAUGAUUGAUGACUAAGGAUUUUUUUUUUUUUUUUUUUUUGGUGAAUGAUUGAUUGAGGUAGGAGAUGGAGAUAGGCCAUAUGCAUCACGCGCUAUAAAUACUAGUGGUAAGAAUAAAAACACCAUUUUUUUUGCUUUGAGCUGCAAAAGAAAAGAAUAAGAAUAAAUUAAUCAGAUUUAAAUACAUGUCACGUCCGGUAGAUAUUAAGUGCUUGUUCCGAGCUGGUUAUUAUUGUCAAGUUUGUUAGCUAUGGAACACAAGCCCAACACCAACGUGGAGAUUGAAGAUGUUAUGUUUCACAAAAAAGCAUUGUAUAAAGGCACACAUUGAUAUUAGUUAAUUAGUAAGUACUCUUUUUUUAAGAAAAAAAGAAUUAAAGUUAUUUAACUCCUUGACGACUGAAAUUCGUGACCCCUCAGUUACGAAUAAAGUGUGUGUUUUACCAAUUAAAUCACGUUACAUUAUCUUACACAUUGAUAGUUGUAGGCCUUGAACAAGAAAAAUAUUAAGUUGAAGCAAUCAAGUGAAACUUGUAGUGCAAGGGAGUUGAUAUUCAUACUAAUCUAAGUGCACAUAGCUCGCAUAACAUGAAACAAAGUUUGACAUGGAAUUGGAACAAAAUUGUUUCCUAAGAUGCUCUAUGCAAUGAAAUACCCUUAAAACUUUGGUAUUUGACAUAAAAUGCCAGCCAUGAAUUCAACAAUCACAAUAAACAAAUCGUGCAAAUGUUAAAAGUUAAAAUGCCUGAAAUCAAUUUCUUGUGGCCCGCAUAAGAGCCAAUGUCACAAAGAGCCCUAAAACUACUUUCGCCACAAUAAAAGCGUGCGAAAGAAAGAAGCCAUAUAUGCUUGGAGCUGAGUGACAGGGCUGUCCCUUUCUAACCAACGAAGAUAAGAUAGAAGGGGCCGAUCGAGCUAGGAGCCUAGGAAUGCUCAUACGGGUCCAAUAUGUGAGCUGAUGCAACACUGUACACUUCUAAAUGUACAUAGCUCGCAUAACAUGAAACAAAGUUUGAGAUGAAACCUUAUCCAAAUGUAGUCGCUUCCUAGUGCAAUUACCACAUCGAAUGGUUUUACUUGGAUGUUGUGAUUUUCCUCAUUUCCUAUCCUUUUACUUAGUGUCACUUGAUUUUCACUAUUGUCUGCCCGCAUCUUCCUACUACAUAAUCAAAGAUAACCUUGAAAACAGUUCAUAUUUUCUAUUCAUGAAAAAUUGUUUGUGGAACUUGUGGUUUGCAUUCAACAUUCUGAAAAGCUAACUUAUACUAGUUCGUUUCUCUUUUAUACCCACUCGUUAUAGAUAGUUGUGCAGACGGCAAAUAUAGAUAAACGUGAUAGAAUUUUGACAGAUAUAGGUUUUCUGUUGUAUCAAUGCAGGAGCUACGAGCCCAUCAGUUAUCUUCAUCCGAUACCUUGAGUUCCUAGCUAGCCCUGUAAUGCAUGAACAUCAUAGGGCAAACCUACAGAAGAAGAAAGAAUGAAAAAUAGUGAUACGUACAUUCUGACGUGGUAACAGCAUCCUAUAAUGCUUUUAGAUGUAAAACGUAUAAACAAUGCAACUUUGUUGCUAAAGAACAAAGUGCAGAACAAAAUUGUUUCCCAAAAUGCUCCGAGCAAUAAAAUAGUUUUGAAACCUUCGUAUUUGGCAUAAAUUGCCAGCCGUGAAUAGAGUAAAUGGAGAAAAAUGUCGUCAAACUGUUACUUUUAUCGCUUUUCAUCACUUAGUUAUUUUUGUAGCUAAACAAUGUAUACACUAUUAUCGUUGGAUACAUGACAUGUGUAUGAAAGUUGAAUUUCAAAUUCAAAUUUUGCAUAAUUGUCAAUCAUCCAAUGCUGAUAGUUGUCAAAUUCAAAUUUUACAUAGUUAUUAAUCAUCCAACGCUGAUAGUGUAUACACUGUCAGUUUUGGAAAGAUUAAUCCAUUUUUUUUUUUUUAACAAAGGCUCUCACAGUCUCACUCCCAAAAUUGGGCCUUUUGCACGAUACCUAACGAUGCUAAAAUCCUCACCUGAACUGACUAGAAUACAAUUCACCCAAGCUGCUCUUGUAUGUUCUCUGUGGACAUCACCCAAGCUACCAUGACAGCUACCGUAGAUUAUUUGUGCUUUUAGGAUUUUUAUUGUUCCACAACGAGAAAACUGUAGUUAGGAGAAGCUGAUAUGAUUUUUUUUUUAAAGACUCUGACUAUUUUGUCCUUAGAGCUCUUUGCGCAUAUCAUGCAUGCGAUUUUCUAGUAGCAUUUAUAGCCUAAAUAUAAUAGGAUGACCAAGAAGUUGCAUUGUUUUUAAUAGUUGGGUGACACUUUUUAGUGAGGAUAAAAAAAAAGUUAAGUGACAUUUUUUACUAAGAAAAAAGUUAGGUGACAGAGAGAGAUAAAAGGUAAUAAUUUGAUCACAUAUUGCACCAUUUGGCCUGAAAAUAACAAUCACAACAAACAAAUCGGACAAAUGUAAGAAUGGACGGAAACAAUUUCUCCUGGCCCUGGCCCUGGCCCGCAGUAGAGCCCAUCUCACAAAGAGCCCUGAAAGCACUUUCGCCACAGCAAAAGCGUGCAAAAAAAAAAAAGCCAAGUGGCGGGGCUGUCCCCUUCCGACCGACGGGAAAAACAUAAAAGCCAAGCGAGGAUAGGAAUCCUCGCAUGGGUCCAUUAUUGUUUUAAAUUAAAACCGUGCAAGUGGAUCGACGUUGCUAUCUUCAACCCGGACCGUUAAUUGAACCGGUGAAGUAAAAGGAUCGAAAUUCAAUCUGUCGUAUCGGUUCAACCUCGGUUCAAUGAAUUUUUUAAAAAAUAAUUUAUAUAAAUAUAUAUAUGCACAAAAUAAGACAUGCAAUAAACUAAUUUAAAACUUUAUAUGAUGAAAAGUUUACUAUUUUUGAAUAACUUGGAUUUUCAAAAAUAAAUUUUUUAAAUUAUAAGUUAAAACAAAUAAAUUUAUUUCAAUUUCAAUUAUAUCUAGCAAAAUAAUCUUAAAUCUAACCCAAAAAUAUCACAAUAUUUUAAAAUUAUACAAAAUUCACGUCUAUGAGAAUUUGACAUUGUGAACUUAAAUUUUAAUUUACAUCUUUGGGAUUUAGAGAUUGCAAUUUAAAAAAGAAAGUUUGGAGUUCAAGGGAAGUCAAGAGAAUUGAAAACAGAAAUGCAAACUUGAUAAGAAAUAAAAAAUGAGAUAAAAGUGAGUGGUUGUAGUAUUAAAUAAUUUGGGUUAAAGAAAAAUAAUUCUUUUUUAACUUUUUUCAAUUUAAUGGACAAAAACAAAAUUAAAAAGAUGGAAGAAAACAUCAAUAAAUUAAAACUAAAGAGAUUUGAUUAAAAAGGGAGUGACAAAAAAAAAAGGAGAGAGAAAGAGUUGAAGAUUAAAAAGAAAAAGUCAUGAGAGAAUGAGAUUUUGUAAGAAAAAUGAAAAAAAAAAUAUGGAUGUUUGUUUUAUAUAUAUAAGUUAUCAAAAAAAACAAAUAAGAUAUGAUGGUGCAAUAAAACCCUACAUUGGUCUUCUGUUACAAAAGUCUUGAGUUCAAAUCUUGAUAGAAGUAUUUUGCAAAACUUAAAAAAAAAAAAAAAAAAAAAGAGGGGAAACUUGAAAAUCGGUUCGAUCCGGUUUAGCGAUUUUCAAGAUUUUGAUCGGUUUUCUGACAAAGUCAACACUAUCAUAGAAUCGGAUCGAUACCAUGGCCGGUUCACAAUUCAACCGAUCAAACCGACCGAUCCGAUGCAGUUUUCAAAACACUGGAUUCCACAAGGAGAUAAGGAAAUCGCCACUAGGCCUUUGGCCUGGUGGUCACCACCAACUUGCUACUUUUUUUUUGUCUUUGCUAAUUUCUCAUUUUUUUCUUCGUCUCUCUCUCCCUCUCACACACACACACACACACAAAGAGACACACAUCCCCCCAAACAUGCCAACCUCGGACUCACAUUCCCUUUCUUCCUUUAUGUUUACAUAAAUUCUCUCAUAAAGCAAGGCAUCUCUUCGUUCCAUCAUUUUCUUACCCUUUAAUCUCAGCCUUGACUCCCUGUUUCUUUUUUCUUGUCUCUCUAUCCCUUUCCUUUUAUAUUUUUUUACUUGGCAAGCAUUCUCUGUUGAUUCCUAUGAAGACAUAUUUCCACCAUCAUUCUUGAUCUCUUUAUUAUCAAUUUAAAGGAGUAAAACACAGUUCGAGGUGGGAUUUAUUUUUUUCUGUUGUACAUGCACUUCACUAAGAACAGUACAAAACGGACUAUCCAAAAUGUAAUGAACUUUUACUCCACUUACAAUCUUAUUAAGAACUUCCCAACUGCGACAACAGCAGUUUCCCAUAUCUAACAAUCUUCGUGUAUCAUAACUAUGUUUCUCACAAAUUCUUUUUAUAGAGCCAUCCGGAUGUUUUUUUAGGUUGAAAGCCAUCCAAAUUUUAUUAGAAAAUCAACUAUUUUUAAAUACUUAUUCAUAUACCUUUAACUGUUCAACUGCAACAUCGUCCAUGAAUAUCAUAGCAAGUCUAAAUUCAUGAAAUUGCUCUAAUAAAGCAUGAAAUUACCAAUUGACAAAACUUCUGAUAGCGAGAUAUGCCCAUGCAUUACAUUUCUUAAGGUCUGACAUUAAUCGAAGGCAAUAACAAAUUGCCAAACAAACUGCGCAUGAUAAUCCUCUACCACAAAUUAAUUGAGGAUGAAAAAGUCAGGUACUAAAUGAUUCAAGCUUUCAUCAAUCCGUAAACAAUUCCUAAUCUUCUAAGCAAAUCCGAGUUCCAAAAUUUUCAACUCUCAUUUUCAAUAAUAUCUUUUUUGUUUGACAAAUGUGCUAAGCUGCUGACUCUGACAAUCUACCGAUGAAAAUGAAUAAAAUUCAAUUAGACAUUAAAAUGAAUUACAUACAAUUCUGAGAGCCCCGGCAAAGCGAGCUAGAGAGGAAGCAGAUGAUGCGAGUUUUACCGAGGGAGGGAACGGCAGGUGGAAGAGAAAAGCCGAGCUCGGAGAAGGGAAGGUGCUCGAGAGAUCACCGGAUUUCGGAGCCUAGAUAGCGCCAUGGAUCAUCCGCAAGCAGAUUCGGGCUCUAAGUUUUCCCUGCCUUCGUUAUGCAGAAGAUUACAGAGUAUGAAUUAAACUCAGUUAAUAUGUUAGUAUGUUAAUCAAAAGGGAGUUGAACAAAGUCGAAGAGGGGCUCUUCUUUUAUUACUAAUUAAUUUUUGGGUGUGGAAUUAAAUGAAAAGUUUUUUAUUCUUUUUCUUCGGAAUCCGUACUAAUUGUAAUGGUAACUUGUCAAACUAACCCCUCUUAUUCAUGCUUUAAAGAGAAAUUAAAAAUAGUUUUUUGAAAGCUUACUUUUUUUGUCUUUUUUACGGAAGAUACAAUUUGUACAUGCAAAUGCAGUCAAGAGAGAUGUUUAAGUAAUAGUAUGAGAAAUAAAAAGAUAAAUAAAAGGAUUAUUAUCACUUUACCUCCUUAAACUAUAUCAUUACUGUUAAUUUAUCCAUUAAUAUUAUCUUUUAGUCAUUUCACCCCAUAGGUGUUUUCAGACUCAGAUCGGGCAUCAACUCGAUCAAACUUAGGGGUCGAUCGGGGUUGAACCGGAUGAUAUCAUAAUUAAAAAUUAAAAUAUUGUAUGUAAAAUACUUAAGAGGAUAUUAAUAUUAAUAAAUGUAUAUUCAUAUAUAUUUGAUGUUUCAAAUAUAUUUAAGAAAAUACAAAGGAAUUAGAAUGAUCAAGUAGCAAUUUAUAUUAUUAAAUGAACAUUAACAAGUUUAGAAUUAAAAUUAUGGAUUUGAUUGAAAAAUAACACUAAACUUUAGGACAACAUGAAAUAUUUGAGAUAUAUUAAUAAUUUUUAACAACCUUGAGGCCAAAAUAUAUUAUUGAAAAUGCUUUGACCUUUAAAAAAAAAAAAAAAACUUGACAUCAAACUGGUUCAUCCAGUUUGCCGAGUUUUUAUACAUCCAAUCUUUUGGAGUAACUCAAACCGAACACUUCACCGGUUUCAAUUUGACCGGUCAAACCAGUCGGUCCGGUCCGAGUUUAAAAACACAACCCAUAAGUAAUUCAACUCAGUAUGUUAAUAAAAUUUUGACAAAAAUAUCCUUUUAUUUUAUAACAUUACUGCAUUGUUAUUAUCACUUUAUCCCUUUAAAUUAUGGUGAUAUAAUCGCUUUAUUUUCUAGAUAUUUUACCUUAUCAUUAAUCUAAAAAGUAUGUUUAAAAAUUUUUAAAUGUAUUUAUCUUUUUUAUAUAUAAUUAAAAAUAAUAAGGUUGUAAUAAUUAUUCUUCAUUUUUUCGACUCUAAGAUUUCAAAAACAUAGCAAUAAAAGGGUUUUUUUUAAUUUCUUUUUUCACACUUAUUAAUACUAGGAAAAGAAAAGGAGAUAGGACAAAGGAGUCAAAAAAUUAGAUUUUGCAAAUAAAGAAAAUAAGGAAGAAUAUAAUAUUAUCGUAUUAUUUUAAUAUUUUCGGAAUUAGGAUUGGAAUUGGGUAAUAAACAGAAAAGUAAAAGUAAUUUCAAAAUAAUAAAAAUAUUGAAUUCUUUCUUAUUUGUAUUAAAAAAAGAAUUGUGCUCUCUCCCUUUCCCUCCCCUAUUUUUCUUUUUUUUUUUAAUAUUAAUAAGAUUGUCAAGAAGAAAGAGAUUAAUGUUUUGACUUUUUUUCUUGAUACUAAAAAGGAGAAGAGUCAUUCUAAAUUUUUUAUUGUUUUUAUUAUAUAAAAAGAGGGUACUAUCUUCUAAAAUUUUUUAACUUAUUAAGCUGGUUUAAUGGUAGGAUAAAUUGAUAACAAGAUUAUAGUUUAUGGGGGUAAGGUGAUAAUAAUUUUAACGGUUAAACAUGUCUUAUCACUUAGAUUAAUAAAUUCCGUUAAAUUUGAUCAUUAGUCUUGAGGGUAAAAUGACUAAAAAAUAACGUUAAGGGGGAAAUUGAUAGUAAGACCCAAUGUUGAGGGGGUAUAGUAAAGUGAUAAUAACCCUAAAUAAAAAGGAAUUCAUUUUACAAAUUUUAGUUGCACAAAAAUUAACUAAAUUACAUGAAACAAAACCAACCAAAUGGAUGCACUUAUUUUUAAUUCCACUAUUUUUAACUUAAAUUAGAAAAUCCCUUUCAUAAUUUCCCUACUUUGUUAGUUUUCCAUAUGAAAAAAACUCCAACUUUGGUUUCCAUAUGGCAUCAAAACUGGAAAACAGAUAUGUACAACAACAAUUGUAGGCCUACACAGGAAGGGUGAAGAAACAAGAGUGAGAAACCCUAGUAAUGUGGAACCAUCUGAAUUAAACUGCUAAAGAAGGUGAACAACAGACAAUGAAAACCUUGAUCGUAUAUUCUUGGUUUUGGUUUACAAUUUCCCACACCAAUAUGCAUUUGAUUAUAAGGAUGCUGAAUAUUUUAAUCUUAUCAAGUGAAACACUAAGUGUUUUCCUUUGCCGCAUGCCUGUGACUGCUAUGAAACUUUUUUAUCAAAUAUUGAUCUAUACAUGCCAUAAGUAACUUGUAAAUUUUAUUCAAGAUUUGAUUUCUUUGUAAUGUAGUUCAUAAAUACUUGUGUAAAUUUCGCAUUCAUUCUUUUUUCUAGUCGGAGUACAUAAUCAUGGGCCUAGAAGUAUUUAGUUGUGAAGGUUUCAGUUACAAAUCUAACCAUAAUACCUGUUACUUUCAAGAUCUCUCAAUAUGAAAGAAACACAGAAAAAUGCUUCACCCAAGAUUGGCCUUGGAGGAAUGGCAAGAAAUUCUUAUUCGAAAUGUGAGAAAACGCUUUGAUGGUACAUGUUUAUUCCAAAAAGCCUUCAGUGCACAAUGAAGUCAGUCUAGUUUUGUUUCUUUGUUUAUUAGCAAAUGAGUUCUCAAACUCCUCUUGAUUAACUUGAAUCUCUGUUGCGGCUAAAUAGACUGUUGAAAGUGAAAUCCUCGCAAUGUCUUCACAAAUUGGACAACAGCCUUGGCUACAUUUGAUGCUGCAAGAGGGCCAAACAGACGAAUAGUAUUGUCUCCAUCUUGUGCUCCAGCUAAAUCUGACAGUCCUCGUAUGACAAUUACCUUGAAGCCAUUCGAUAAACAUGUCUGCAAUUCCAGAAAACAUGAACAUAACAAGUUAUCUUGACUAGUAAUUAUGCGCCCCGAGUUUCUAAGCAGAUAUAUUCUUCAGAUUAGUUUUGGUGCGAGGCGUUUACCAUGACUAUGACUGCACUCUCCAUAUCAAGUGAUGAAACAUGAAAAGUUGUAUAGAGGAACUCCCUGUAAGCUGCAUUGUCCACAAAAAUGUUGGCAGUUGCGCCAUUCAGUCCAACAACUACCUUGGGCUUUUCAGGAAGGCACAAGCUCGAGUUCACGCACUGUUCCAGCGCCAUCCCCUGUAUUAGUGAAAAUGCAUCCAUUAGAUUCAAGGGCUAGUUGAAGACAACUUAAGAGGAAAAAAAAUGUUUUAGGCAGCAGCAAUUAGCUGGCUGCAAAGCGAAUGAGGAUGUUACGUAUUAGCGAUAAGCAACCCACCUCCAGACUAGAAGAUACUUCUAGCCAAUUCUGACUUGUCUGAAACCAAAGUGUUCUUUCAGGAGCAUUAGGCUUUCCUGACUUAAGAGUAGAAGAACUCCGUCCAAUACCCAAUGCUCCCCAACUCAUUGUCUCCUCCAUUGGGAACAUCACAGCUUCCAAAGUCCAGUUCAGCAACAUCAUUUGUCGGUAUUGUUGCCUUGAAUUUCUGCAAAAUGAAGAGAUUGUACGCAAAUAAACUCGUAGUCUGCAUAUACUGAGGCAGGAAAUGAGCCAAAUGAUUAUUACCACCCAGUCCCAUAACCCUGUUUGAGCAAACUGCUUAGGGAUGAUGACAUCUCCCAUGGACAUGGAACAGUUAACAUUGCCUGCAAUGCCAAAGUUUACAAUUCCAAUCAUGCGAAAGACAUCCAACAUCUGUUGUGUUGCAGCUGCAGCAUUCACCUGGGCGUACUACAAUUAGACAUUUCUUGAGGUAGUACUACUUAACAGAAAAAAAACAAUGGCCGAAAUAGAAAAAUUCUUUAUUGCCAGCAAAUCCUUCAGUGAUUAACAGAAAAAAUCCUUCAGUGAUUAUCAACAUGAAUAGCUGAGCAAAUGAAAAUGAUUUUGCCAGCACUGAAGCUCUUAAGCAAGCAGUAUCUUUGCUUACGCGUUAAAUACUUCUGUCCAACCUUACCGAUCAACUCAACUUUAUGAUUUGUGAACUAGAUUGGCCAGUGAACUAAAACACCAUAGUUGCUGAUCACAAAUCAUAACAACUACAAGCAACUAUCUGUAAUAACCAGACCAGAAGAAUGUGAAAUGAACCUACCAUUCCCACUCCACAUCUUACAUAAAUGACUUUUGAUCCUUCUAUGCUCCCUACGCGAAACCGCCUCCCUGUAAGAAACCAACCACCAUUUUCAAUCAUCAUAAACGAUACACUUGCUCUCUUAGUACCAUAUUGAAGCGUAUGUAUUGGGGAUUGAUCAUGUACCUGACAAAUUCACAAAAGGGUGCUUCGGGUUAUGCUUGAAGGCACCAGUAGCGAAAAAAGCAUCUUCUUCUGGGCUAUAAACCGUAAUAAGACCAAGAUAAGGUCGCAUUUUUUUUAAGAGUGUUAGUGCUGUCCUUCACAGUCAGCAAAUAAUCUUCAUUUGUCAAAGUUGAGAAGCGUUCUUAGGCACGUUUGUCAGUAGUUUCACAGUUCAAGACUUUAAUGUAAUUCGGGUCCAAUAUGGCAUCGGCCAAAAUUUAGACAUUGUAAUUGAAACAUUUAAAAACCCUUUUCAAGCUCUAGGAAGUACGAAGCACGUACAAAUCUGCCAUCAUUUUUUUGGUAAAAUGGUACGUCAAUAGUUGAAUUUUGCCUUGCUUUUGUGUACCAUUAUUAUUCUAAUAGAGUAAAUCUUAUAUACAAUAAUGGUAUAUAUAUUAUCACUGUUGAAUAUAUGACAUAUAUGCAAAAUUUGAGUUUCAAAUUCAAAUUCGGAUUACGUGUCAUGCAUCUAAUUAUAAAAGUGCGUACACUGCCAGUGUAUAGAAGAUUAAUAUUUAUUAAUAACUUAAAAUUAUUCCUUGGACCAACUCAUGUUAAUAGCAAAUCUAAUUGUUUAGGCACUGGUUUAGCUCAAUUUCCUGUUUGAACAAAACUACCACACUUAGAAUCAAAAAGAAUUUACUACAUUGAAAUGUGCGAAAGGGGUUGUCUCAUUUUCGCUUGAAAUAGAAUUUGGCAACUUAAAAUGAGGGUAAAGAGAAUGUUAAUUCUAGAUGUGAAUCUGUGCCUUAUUACCUCUAGCAUGGAAGCGAUUUGCAGCAAAUUCUUGGACGCCUCGAACCAAAGUUUUCUUUCAGGAGUAUCAGGCUUUCCUGUCUCGGAAAAGAAGUACUCACUCCAAUAAGCCACGAGACCCAACUGAUUAUAUCCGCCAGCGGGAAUGUGAUAGCUUGCGAACUCUAGCUCAGCAGCAUCAGUAUCUGGAUGUGUUGCUACCUUGGGUUUCUGUAGUAUGCAUGCAUGCCCAGAUGAAGAUACAUACAAAAAUGUAAUUCCUUGAAUAUUGAAAAAAAAAAAAAGAAACACGUUCAAUACUUUUGAAGCAAGGAAAGGACUAAAAUUUUUUCCACUUCACAAUAAAAUAAAUAAAUAAAGAAAAUGAGGAAUUCAGUUGCACCAUCAGGUAUUUAGGCUUUCAUUAAUUGGAGCCGCUGUCUACAGUCUACUGCAUAUGGAGGGAGGAGAAAACCAUCAUCCAGAUCCAAAAGACAACUGAUUCUUAAGCCUUGCUUGCAAAUUUCAGUAAUUAGCACAUUUUUCACAUUUUUUCUCACAUUUUUUUCGUAAGUGAGAGGUCAUGAAUCUAGGUGCUUCUACUUGUCAUUCCUCCCAUCUUACAAUACAAUCCAACCCUUCCCUCUCUAGCAUUUUGAUUCCUGAGGAUGGUUAUUCCAGCUCGGGUAUCCCGAGGUCUCGCCCAGUAAUAUCUCUUGAAGCGCCACCUCGGCGGUUAUCAGUUGGGGUGACAUCCACCUCAUUACCGUCUCGACUAACAUCCGUAGCCGAGGUGACACCAGGGCAUCCGACAAUUGUAGAGAGGUGAGAUGUGACCUCUGACACCCCUGACACCUCCGACGCUUGACGGAAAGCUGCUCUGACACGCCGUCUGAACCUGACGGAUGUCCCAUCACGUCCUUUCAUAGAGAUCAGUCAAGUCCAUCAGAUGCAAUGACCAUAUCAGAUCUUUAGGGACCCGUGCUGGCAGUCCCUCUCUCCUAUCCGUCUUCUAUAAAUACUCAACACCUUUACUGAGAAGGGGCAUGACCAAUUUUCUGGUAACACACUACUCCCUUCUAUUACACUAUCUCUUCAUAACCGAACUAACUUGAGUUUCGGAGUUAUAACAGGGGAUCCAGCCCCUCUUUCAACCUAAGCAGGUGACCUCGUCCAAGAGAACUGCCCAGGAUAAAAAUACUUCUCUAGUGCGGGUGACUCACUCCAACGGGACGAAAAUCACCUCUUCAAUUGGCGCCGUCUGUGGGAACCCGAAGACAUCAGAAUAUGAAGCCUGCGCGUUCAAGGAGCCGAAAAGCUCUCACUAUUGGGGCUGAGCAAAGCAACGCAGCCCACCAGGAAGACAUCUCUGAAGGGCAGGAGUCCCCAAGGACUCAACCCGCCAACGAAGAAGCCAUAACCCGUAUGGCCGAGUUUGUAAACGAAAACCCCAACAUCUUUGAGGAGUUGGGUAGGUACCUUAAGAGGCAAGACAAACAGAAGGCUGAAUCCUCUAAAAGGAAGUCGGAUGGAUCUCCUGAAAACUCAUCUGAAGAGGAGUCGGAUGGGAGGCGCCUAAGCCGAAGUGCCUCAAAACGGGCAUUCUCCAAGACCACCUCUAAGGUAGCCUCAUUGACAAAGGCCUUUUCCCGAGGACUCUUGGGACGGCGACCUGAGGAAGAACCUCGGCCCCUGGGAAUACCCGGGGUGAAUUACAUGAGGGCUUCACCCUUCACUGAUGACAUCAAUUAGGAAAGGCUUCUUCCAAAUUUCAAGCUCCCCGCGAUACCGUCUUAUGACGGCCGAGGUGAUCCUGAGAAUCACAUUCACGCCUUCAUCUCGGCCUUCCGCUUAUACUGCAUCCCUGACCCUGUCAUCUGCCGGGCUUUCCCAGUGUUCCUCCAGGGGACUGCUCGAAAAUGGUUCUGAAGAUUAGAACCUAGGAGCAUUUCAACCCUGGGAGAAUUGGUGGAGAGAUUUCUCCAUCGGUUCAUCUCCUCCCGACCUACGACCCGGACCUCAACUUACUUGCUGAACCUGCAGCAGAAUUCGGGAGAGUCACUUCGGUCGUAUGUCCAGAGGUUUCAUGAUGAGAGUGUACAGAUACCUGACCCCAAUGAGCAGGUUACCAUCGCUGCCUUUACCCAUGGGCUCGUCUCCGGAGUGUUCAACACGAAAAUUCACAAAAAAUAUCCCCGCACUCUCCACGAGCUGUGGUUAAAGGUCGAGAAGGGCAUACAAGCUGAAGACCUCAACCGCAUGAAGAAGGAGAUCCAAGCCACCCGCCCAAAGGCUGACCCUCGAAGGGGGAAAGAUGUUGGCCGAAGUGAAGCCGGGACAGGGAGUACUUUCCAAAGUCCUGGCCGAAAUCGCCGCAGCAUGUUCGACAGGAUUUCCAAGGGGAAAACAUUCAUCCCUGAGUCCGAACUGACUCCCUUGAACACCACUCGAUCUCGGGUGUUGUCCGUAAUAGAACAGAACAAUCUCGGGAAAGCACCUCCCAAGAUGUACGGCAGCAGGGAUAAGAGGAACUCGAACCUCUACUGCCUAUACCAUCGAGAUAUAGGGCAUGAAACCGAGGACUGCAACGAUCUCAAGAGGGAGAUCGAGAACCUCAUCCGACAAGGACACUUGAAGCAGUUCAUCCGCCGAGGUGGAGGUCAUCAGUGUGACGAAAACCGACGUGAUAGACGAGGUGACCAACGCCGAGACGAGAGGCGGACGUCAAGAAGCAGCUGCUGGCCUCCUGAGGAUCCUAGGGAGACAAAAAGGCCUCCCCGAGAUGGAUCUUCAGGCCAGGGGCUAGGGUAUGGGCCAAACAUUGCCGGAAUCAUUAACACUAUUGCCGGAGGUCCGACGGGAAGAGAUAGCCAGAACUCCCGGAAGAGAACCUACAGGCAAGCUAACCCGGAUCAGGUAGAGUCGAGUUCUCGCCUAUCCGAAGUCAUUUCCUAUGGCCCUACCGAUCCUGUCCCAGCCGCCUCGAGUAGCCACGAGGCACUAAUAAUCGAGGUGCUCGCUAACAAUUACAUCGUUAAGAAAGUUUACAUUAACCCCGAGAGUUCGGUAGAUGUCAUGUAUCUCCGCACUUUUGAGAGUCUUAAGUUGGCUAGGGAGCACAUGACUCCGGUGCGGACUCCCCUUGUAGGGUUUGGGGGACACAUCGUCCACCCCGAGGGAAUUGUGACCCUGACGGUGACCGUGGGGCACCACCCCCGCUGCCGAACUAUCCCUGUGAACUUUGUGGUGGUUAAGGCCGACUCCCCAUACAACUUGCUCUUAGGUCGACCCACUCUUAAUGCUCUGCGGGCGGUGUACUACACCUACCACUUGAGUUUCAAAUUUCCUACCAUCGCGAGAAUCGCCGAGGUCAGUAGCGACGUCUGCGCUGCUCGGGAGUGUUACCUCGCCACCUUACAAGCAGCCUCCACAUCGACCGCCGAUGUGAGACCCGAGAAGAGGUCAAGUAUUCUCUCGAUAGAUUGUAUUGAUUCUCAGCAACCCGAGAAGAUCCCAAGGCUGGAAACUGGGGAUGAGGUGGAAGAGAUUCCCCUGGACCCCACGAAACCUGAUCGGAUGGUCCGCGUCGGCACUUAACUGCCGGGCCCGAUUAAAAGAGGUAUGGUGGAUCUCCUCAGAGAGUAUCGGGACGUCUUCGCUCGGGUCGCAGAUGAGGUUCAAGGAGUUCCGCACCACCUCAUGAUACAUGAGCUGAAUGUCGACCCCAAAGUCCGCCCGGUUAAACAGAAAAGAAGGCACCUCGGUCCUGAGCGCAGCCGAGCUGUGCAUGGCGAAGUGGACAAACUCCUGCCCGCGAAGAUAAUCCGAGAGGUCCAAUAUCCAACAUGGUUAUCUAACCCAGUCAUGGUCAAGAAGGACAUCGAAACUUGGAGAAUGUGCGUCGACUUCACCGAUCUCAACAAAGCUUGUCCCAAGGACUGCUACCCAUUGCCCAAGGUCGACAUCUUGGUGGAAUCGGCGAUGGGUUAUGAGGUCCUUUGCUUUUUUGAUGCCUUCAAGGGGUAUCACCAGAUCGGAAUGAGUCCAGAAAAUCAGGAGAAAAUUGCCUUCUACACUAACUAGGCAUAUAUUGUUACACCACCAUGCCUUUCGGACUGAAGAACGCCGGGGUUACGUAUCAACGCUUGGUUAACCAAGCUUUUAAAUCUCAGAUCGGCAGGAUUGUCGAAACCUACGUAGAUGAUAUCCUUCUCAAGAGCCACACGACCUCCACAUUCCUUUCCGACCUAAAAGAAGUCCUGAAAGUCCUUCGGGAGACGCGAAUGAUGCUAAACCCCAAGAAAUGUGUUUUCGGGGUCACUACGGGGAAGUUCUUGGGCUAUCUCGUCUCCAGACGGGGUAUUGAAACAAAUCCGGACAAGGUAAGGGCAAUCCAAGAAAUGUCUCCACCUCGAUGUGUCCGCGACAUCCAGAGGCUGACAGGGCGGUUGGUCGCCUUGAACCGGUUCUUAUCGCAAUCAGCCUCCAAGGCACUGCCAUUUUUCAAAGUUCUCAAGAAGGCCGACAACUUUUCCUGGACUAAAGAGUGUCAACAGACGUUUGAGCAUCUAAAGGAAUACCUCAACCACCUCCCAACACUCACCUCACCUCGCUCGGGGGAUAAGUUAUUCUUGUACCUAUCUGCUGCAGCCGAAACUGUAAGUGUCGUGCUGAUAAGGGAGGAAGGUGUACAAAUGCCUGUUUAUUAUGACAGCCAAGUCCUCCGAGGUCCGGAGACCAGAUACACUCAGGCGAAAAAGCUUGUGCUGGCCUUAAUCCAUGCAGCUCGUAGGCUGAAACCAUACUUCUUAGCCCACCACGUUAGCUUGAGGACUGACCAACCAAUUCGGCAAGUCUUAUCACGGCCAGAGGCUUCUGGACGCCUUACUAAGUGGGCCAUUGAGUUGGGGGAGUACGACUUAUCUUACGAGCCUUGUACGACAAUCAAAGCUCAGGCCCUCGCGGACUUCCUAGCCGAGCUCACUUUUGAUGAGAUGAAUAAAGCCACCCCGGCCACUACCCAGGUUACUACCCCGUCUACCGUCGAGCCUCAACGCUGGACUUUGCAUGUGGACGGUUCGUAGUGGGGCAGGCUUACUUCUCGAAAACCCCCAAGGAGAGGUGUGCUCGUACGCCCUGAGAUUUGACUUCGCUGCCUCCAACAAUGAAGUCGAAUACGAGGCUGUCAUUGCCGGCCUACAACUAACUCGAAAACUCGGGGGCCGCACACAUCUUGAUCUAUAGUGACUCCCAACUCGUCGUGUGUCAAAUACUAGGUGAAUACGAGGCCAGGGAAGAGGUGAUGCAUCGUUACCUCUCCAAGGUCCUCCAGCUGGCGACACACUUCGAGUCUUUUGAAAUCCAAAGAAUACCGCGGUCACAAAACAGAAGGGCUGACGCCCUCUCCCGGCUUGCUUCUACCUCUUUCUCCGACCUGAACAAGACGGUUCUCGUAAAAGUUCUAACCGAGUUAGGAUAUAUAGCUGAGGUCGUGUACCCCGUCUACCCUGGGGAUACCUGGAUGGGGCCCCUGACUCGAUUUCUCAGCCAAGGUGAGCUCCCGGAAGACCGAGAUGAAUCACAGAAGUUUCAACGAAAAGCAGCUCGGUACACCCUCCGACAAGGCCUUUUGUAAAAGAGGUCUUAUCUCGACCCCUGGUUGCGAUGUAUCACGCCGGAGGAAGGUGAGAGAAUCCUCCAAGACAUACAUGAAAGACUUUGUGGUGCUCACGUCGGCUACAGGAUGCUUGUUAAGAAAGCUUUAUUGCUUGGGUACUUCUGGCCGACCAUGAGGGUAGAUGCCCAGGUCAUGGUUCUUAGUUGCCCCUCCUGUCAGCACCACGCCCCUGAACACCACCAGCUGACCAACCUUAUGAUACCCAUCACCUCGCCGUGGCCAUUCGAGCAAUGGAAAACUGAUAUAAUCGGCACAUUCCCCAGGGCUCCAGGCAACUAUGCCUACGUGGUGGUAGCAGUGGACUAUUUCACCAAAUGGGUUGAGACCGAGCCCCUGAGAAGCAUCACCGGGGCUGCUGUUCAAAAAUUCUUUUGGAAGAACGUGGUUUGUCGCUUCGGCCUGCCCCGAGUGGUCAUUUCGAAUAAUAGCAGGCAGUUCGCGGAUAAUCCUUUCAAGGCGUGGUGUGAAACUUUGGGGAUUCAACAACAUUUCACUUCGGUUGGACACCCUCAGGCAAAUGGACAAGCCGAAAACUUCAAUCGAACUCUCCUCCAUGGACUCAAGACCAGGCUACACCGGGCUGGAUAGUCAUGGAUGGAAGAGCUCCCCAGCGUGCUGUGGUCCUACCGAACCACGCCGAGGUCAGCAACCCAAGAAACCCCGUUUUCCCUAACUUAUGGGUUCGAGGCUGUCGUCCCAGCCGAAUUCAUUACCUCGAGUCCACGAAUGGUCGCAUAUGCUGCCGAAGUCAAUGAAGAAGAACGGCGAGUUGACCUCGACCUCGCCGAGGAGAAGCGUGAUAUGGCCAUGGCCAAAGUCGCUAUUUACAAAAAUAUCCUAACUGGUUACUACAAUGCUCGGGUCAAGCACUUGCGGUUCAAUCCGGGAGACCUUGUUCUCCGGAAGAACUCAGUUAGCCGAACUGAACCUCAGGAAAAGUUAAAUCCCAAGUGGGAGGGACCGUACUGUGUUGUUGAAUCCAGUCAAAAUGGAUAUUGUAAAUUGGCUUACCGAAAUGACUCUCGGGUGCCCUGAACCUGGCAUGCUGAAAAUCUUAAAUUAUAUUACCCUUGAAGGGUACGUAUUCUUACAUUCCACUUCUUCAAGUUAUUUCUCACUUCUUUCCAUAUUAUUGUAAGUGAAAAAUAAGGGGACAAAGCAGUAUUCAAAAAAAGAUGAAUUCAAUUCGAUCAAAAAGAAGGCAAAAAUAUGCAAGAACAAAAAGUCAAUUUUAUUGAAGUGCGAAAAGUAAAAGGCCGAGGUUAUAUAUGACCUCGGCCCCCAGUUACAAGAGUGAAAGGCCAAGAUUAUCUGUGACCUCAGAUAACCUCGGCCCUCUAUUACAAAAACAAGUGCUUCUAGGCACUCCCUACUUCAGUUUCCUGACCUCCCAUGGUCUCACCCUCCGUCUUGGCAUCCUGAUGCCCUUCAACUCCUCCACCGGCCUGGUCUCCUUCAAGCUCAUCACCAUCACCAUUUGGCUCAAAUUCCUGGAGCCAUUUGUUGAAUUCGGCUCGCACCUCAGCUAGGUCCUUUCCAGACUGGAUACCCUCGGCAAUGCGGUCGCACAGUUCCUUGGCAUUUUCGUUGUAGUGAGAAGCGUUCUGAAGGGACUCCAGUUGCUCAGGAGAGAGAAAGGGCGUUGCCUCGUUAACAGCGGAUGUGAAGCCGAACAUGAAACUCGGUCGAGUGAGCUCGCCGAGUUCAUGAGUGAAGGCUUCCGACUUCCGGAAUGCCUCCACGGCAGUGACCCCGACCUUGUCUAUGGCCUCCUUGGCCGAUUGUUCUUCUUGAGCCCGUCUCCCUCUUUCCUCGUCAAGUGCAGUUACGAGGGAGUUGUUUGCGACUUCGGCCUUCUUCUUCGCAAGCUCGGCCUUGUCUCGCUCCAACUCGGCUGCUCUCAGCUGCUUUUCCAGAUCGGCAAUCCUCUUGUGGAGCUCGUCAGGUGAUUCAUACGUCUGUACGAAGUGCCCGAAGCGUUGGUGCAUCUCAGCCAAGAACGCCGUGGUGGAAGCCCAGGAAACUGAGGCGCUUUGCAUCAGCUCGACGGGAGAGAGCUUCCUGGUGUAGGUAUUGUCCCGUGGCAGGACCGAAUGCACUAGGAGCUCGUGUGCGACUCGGGCAUCUUUGUAUCGGUCGUUCACGUUUAUAUCCCACUCCGGACACCACUGUGACCCGGAGUGCCUCUUGUCCUCCUCGGCCGCCACUGAAGGCACGUGGUGGAGGUUGAACAAUGAGGACCCCGUGACGGGGUUUUUCGGAGUAAUGGCUGCCGCUCGACCCCGAGGUGGAGAGGCUAUCGUCACUCCACGGGAGGGGAUUCCCACAGGAAUGCCAGAGGAUUUGGAUUUCCCCUUCCCCGGCAUGCCCGAGGUAUGUGAACCUUCGCCUAUGAUCACCACGGCGGGCUCGCGGUCGCCCGUCGCCGUGGUGGUCUUUUUAGCCGGCCUGGUAGAGGGAUCAGCAGCAUCCUUGCACUUCUUGGGUGCCCUCUUCACCACUUCGGCCCCUCCCGAAGUGAUCAGGUCAGAAACUUUCACCACUGCAGGGAAUGAAAGAGAGUCGAUUAGAAUUUAAGAAAAAUAAAUAAGUAGAGAAAAUGGAAAGGUACAAGGUUUCUGGAGCCUAGAAGAGAAAAGACGGGGUGAUCCGAGCUGAUCAAGGCUCAGCUGAUCCCGCCGUCCACAAGCACUGCUUCUGGAAAGUCCCAACAGUUAAUUCUGAGGCUCGACCCCAUUAGCUUCUGGAGGUUGCGCUCCUCUAACUUGCCCGGGGACAUUUCUUUGACCGAAGUGGGAGGUCUCCACCAAAACCCCUGGGGGAAGUCCUCAGCCGGAACGAAGAUGAAGUUCCUUUUCCACUCCUUUAUCGAGCUCGGGACGUCCACUACUAAUUUCGGGACUUUAUUCCCGAAGUAGAACCAACCCUUCUCACUCCCGCUGUUCUUAAGUGAAUAACAGCGGCGGAAUAGGUUAACCGUAGGCUCUAUCUCCUGAUGACGGCAGAGCAGUUGGAAGCCGACGAGAACGCGAAUGGCAUUGGGGGUGAGCUGAGUGAUUCUCACCCCCCAGUACCUCAAACAGCCGCGAAGGAAUUUCGUCGUUGGCAUCCUGAGCCCGGCCUCCAGUUGCUCCACAUAGAUAGCCACCCUAUCUUUCGGCGACAGUGCGGCUGACUGGUGCGGUUGGGGUAUGUAGAUACUAUAAUCCCUUCCCCAGGGAUACUUGCGGACCACCUCGACUACUGAGACUUGUCCCAUACCACUACUGAAGAACGGCAUCUGGCCGUAGUUAAGAGUUGUCACGUUCGGAGGAGUGGAAGGCUCUUGUACGCCCUCGUCCCUAGGGACCUCGUUCCCGAGGUCAUCAUUGUAUAGAAUUUCGGGAUCGACCUCGAUCUCCUCGUACUGCUCCUUAGCCGCCCCAACUCGGUGAGACGCCUCAGCUCGGUGGGACGCCUCCGCACCUCCUUCCCCAGCUCGGUGAGACGCCUCAGCACCUCCGCCAUCGGACGCGGUCCUUUCUUCGGAGAGGUCAGGCCUCUCUGCUUCGGUAAAGUCAGGCCUCACCGUCUCCUUGUGUGUACGAGCUGUUCUAGCCAUUAUAACAGAAAAGAAAGAAGUGAACUUAUUUAGAAGAUGUGAUUCGAAGGAAGUGCCGAAGUGAAAAGACAAAGAAGCGGAGCUUUGGGGUGAUUCACGAUUUUUGGUAAAGAUUAAAACGGUGAAAAGGGGCCCCUAUUUAUAGGCACCCAGGGAGAAAGUGAAGAGACGCGUUCUCUCUCUCCUCAUUAAUGAAAAAACUGUUCAUCUGCCGCCAAUCUCGCGCCUGAUCAUGAACCUGCCAUUCAGACUGAUAUCCGUCCUGUCAGUUCCUCAGCAGUCCCAUCCACGCGGUCAUGAUUAUUGGACACCGUGUCUUACACGCUUAUCAGCUUUGAAAAGUAACGACCUCGGGAGUCCACGAUCUCGUCUUCCUCGAAGCUUGGGGGGCUUAGUGAGGAUGGUUAUUCCGGUUCGGGUAUCCCAAGGUCUCGCCCAGUAAUAUCUCUUGAAGCGCCACCUCGGCGGUUAUCAGUUGGGGUGACAUCCACCUCAUUACCGUCUCGGCUAACAUCCUUAGCCGAGGUGACACCAGGGCAUCCGACAAUUGUGGAGAGGUGAGAUGUGACCUCUGACACCCCUGACACCUCCGACGCCUGACGAAAAGCUGCUCUGACACGCCGUCUGAACCUGACGGAUGUUCCAUCACGUCCUUUCAUAGAGAUCAGUCAAGUCCAUCAGAUGCAAUGACCAUAUCAGAUCUUUAGGGACCCGUGCUGGCAGUCCCUCUCUCCUAUCCGUCUUCUAUAAAUACUCAACACCUUUACUGAGAAGGGGGAUGACCAAUUUUCUGGUAACACACUACUCCCUUCCAUUACGCUAUCUCUUCAUAACCGAACUAACUUGAGUUUCGGAGUUAUAACGGGGGAUCCAGCCCCUCUUUCAACCUAAGCAGGUGACCUCGUCCAAGAGAGCUGCCCAGGAUAAAAAUACUUCUCCAAUGCGGGUGACUCACUCCAGCGGGACGAAAAUCACCUCUUCAAUUCCAUUGUUCUUUAAUUUGUCGAGUGUAGUCAUUCGAAUUCUUAGUGAUCGAUAAUGACUGAAUUGUUGGCAGUUGGCACUGAUUGUGUGCGCUUGAUUUUGAGAAUCAUUCUCGAUGCAAACGCUUGGAUGCUUAUGCUUUAUGAAACUUUAGGUUUUACCUUUAAGGGGAAAAAAAAAAAAGAAACAAAGGAAUUAAUAUUACCAGCCAGUCCCAUGUUCCAGUUUCAGAAAACUGCAUGGGGAUUACAACAUCUCCCACGGACAGGGUACUGUCGGCAUUGCCCGAAGUGCCAAAGUUUAUAACUCCUCUAAUUCGGAAGACGUCCAACAGUUAUUGGGUCGUUGCUGAUUAAUCCAAUCCAAGCAAAACGCCUUCAUUAAUCACCAAUUCUCACUCACAAAUAUUGCAACCUUUUUUACCUGUACAAAAGCUAACGAAGGGUGGCAAAACUAGAAACUCAAUUACAAUUACCAGUCCAACUCCACAUCUGACAUAAAUGGCACUAUUAGACCCUAUGGUCCCGAUCGAUGUGAUAACGCCUGCCUGCAAUGAAAUAAAUUAUUAGGUGAUAAAAAGUCAGCAACAAAUUUCGAUCAUUAUUAUGAGGAAGAAAAAAUAGCAGUUGUAAUAGUUGCGAAGCAGAUUUAAUGCAUGGGAAAUAUAUAUAUAUAUAUAUAUAUAUAUAUUUGCCUGAGAAAUCCACAUAGGGGUGUUUUGAAUCCACAAGUUACAAGUCAUAAUGUGGAUAACAUUUCAUGUUCUUUGCAACCAGCCAUACUGUAAGCUCAGACAUGCUUCCUUAAACAUGGAUCGAAUUGUGUUGUUAAAAGUUUAAGCAUUAGAAAAAAAUAGUGAUAAACAUCAGAUGCAGAAAGAAUGAAAAAUAGUGAUAUCCCCAUCAGAUGCAGUUUCUGUAUUGGUAACUAUAAUAUAUUUAGAUGAUGCAACUUUAUUGCUAAACAACAAUGUGCUGAACAAAAUUGUUUCCUAAGAUGCUCUAUGCAAUGAAAUAGCCUUAAAACGCCAGCCAUGAAUUCCUCAAUGGAUUUUCUGUCUCACAUUCUAUGCCACUCUCAGUCCCACUUUUUAUUAUAUUGCUAUUUCUCCUUCAUAAAUAUCAUGUUUUAAUUCUUUUUUGUUUCUUUAAGAUCCAAUAACUAUUAAUUGAGUAAUACACAAAAUUUAAUAAACUCAAAAAAUCAAAAUGCAUAAAAACGAGAUUUUUAUGAAUUUUCUGCUGUAGUUUUUAAUUUUCUAUUAUAUAUUACUUUUUUGAAACUGUUGUAUUUAUUUUUUACUCAAUCAAUAGUUACUGAAUCUUAAAAAAACAAAAAAGAAUUAAAACAUGAUAUUUAUGAAGGAGAAAUAGCAAUAUAAUAAAAAAGUAAAACUGAAAGUGGCACAAGAUAUAGAAUAGAAGAUCCGUUGCGAAUGAAUUCAACUCAACAAUCACAAUAAACAAAUCGUACAAAUGUUAAAAUGCCUGAAAUCAAUUUCUUGCGGCCCGCAUAAGAGCCAAUCUCACAAAGAGCCCUAAAGGUACUUUCGCCCCAACAAAAGCAUGCGAAAGAAAGAAGCUAUCCUUGGAGCUAAAGUGACAAGGCCAUCCCUUUCUGACCGACGAAGAUAAGAUGGGAAGGGCCGAUCGAGCUAGGAAUGCUCGUACGGGUCCAAGUGGUGGUUUGAUGUAACAUUGUACACUUCUAAAUGUACAUGGCUCGCAUAACAUGAAACAAAGCUUGGGAUGGAACCUUAUCUAAAUGUAGCAGCUUCCUAGUGCAGUUACCACAUCGAAUGGCUUAACUUGGGUGUUGUGAUUUUCCUCAUUUCCUAUCCCUUUUUAAUACUCUGACUAUUUUGUCCUUGGAGCUCUUUGUGCAUAUCAUGCAUGUGAUUUUCCGGUAGCAUUUAUGGCCUAAAUUUAAUAGGAUGGAUGACCAAGAAGCCGCGUGCGUUGUUUUUAAUAGUUGGGUCACACUUUUUACUGAGGAUAAAAAAAAAAAAAAGUUAAGUGACAUUUUAAGUUUUAGAAGAAAAAAAAAAAAGUUACUUAGGUGACAAAAAGCGAUAAAAAGGUAAUAAUUUGAUCGCAUUUUGACACCUCUAAUUUGGCCUGAAGUGAAAAUAACAAUGUGGAUAAAAGGUAAUAAUAAUUUGAUCGCACAAAUGUGGCCCGGGCCCGCAUAAGAGCGUGUGAAAUAAAGAAGCUGUCCAUGGAGCCACGUGACGGGGCUGUCCCUUUUCGAACGACAAGGAAAACAUAGAACGUCUCGAGAUAGGAAAGGCAUGGGUCCGUUUUUUUUUUUUUGAAAAACGUGCAAAAGCCAAAAAGACAAAUCGUUAUCCUGAGAAGAUUGCACAAGGAGACGAGGAAAUCCGGGGUUCGACCAAUUGUGGAUAAACUGAGAAUUGAAUGAAAAGUUAUUUAUUUAUUUUUCUUCAGAAUCUGUGUUAAUUGUAAUGGUAACUUUUCAAACUAACCCCUCUUAUUAAUGCUUUUAAGUUAUUUGAAAGUUUACUUCUUUUUUUUUUUGUUUUUUUUUACUGAAGAUAUAAGUUGUACUACAAGUUAUGCAAGUGCAAUCAAGAGAGAUGUUUUAGGAUGAGAAAUAAAAAGGAAUUCAAUUUACAAAUUUUAGUUGCACAAAAAAUUAACUAAAUUACAUGAAAUUAAACCAACCAAAUGCAUGCACUUAUUUUUAAUUCCACUAGUUUUAACUUAAAUUAGAAAAUCCCUUUCAUAAUUGCCCUACUUUUUCAGUUUUUCCAUGAGAAAAAAACUCCAACUUUGGUUUCCAUAUGGCAUCAAAAAACGGAUGAUUUAAGAAAUUGUCCAGAUGUACAGCAACAAUUGUAGGCCUACGUAUGUAGGAAGGGUGAAAAAAACAAGAGUGAGAAACCCUAGUAAAGUUGAACCAUCAGAAUUGAACUGCUAAAGAAGGUGAACAGCAGACAGUGAAAACCUUGAUCGUAUACUCUUGGUUUUGGCUGACAAUUUUCCACACCAAUAUGCAUUUGAUUAUAAGAAUGCCAAAGAUUUCAAUCUUAUCAAGUGAUUGACAAAGACAGCUGUGUUAUCCUAUACCGCAUGCCCGUGACUGCUAUCAAAACUCUGUAUCAAAUAUUGAUCUAUAAAUAAAAAAAAAUUUUUUAUCGAAACGGCAGUUUUAUAUAUGAUCGUAAAAACUUUACAGUAACUGGACGAGGGUCGAAGCAACAGGGACAACAGUCCCACAAUAUUCAAAAUAUUGAUCUAUAAACAUGCCACAGUAUUAUAUCGUUAUUUCAUUUAAGAUUUGAUUUCUUUGUAAUAUAGGUCACAAAUACUUGUGUAACAUAGUUCAAUCAUUUGUCUCCCGUGAUGGACAAGGGGGUAAAGGAGUAGGUGGGUUGUGAGCAGUUCAUUGUUAAAAUGCUUAAAACUACCUGUCUACAUCAAGCUAACAAUGGCAGCAGCUGUGGAAUAAAAUUUUCUUGCAAUUUUUUUUAUAGGAUUUUAGAGAAUGAGUCGCUUUUGUUUUGGAGGUGCAAGUGUUAUUCAGAGUCAGAGGAGAAGUGGUCUUAGGCAUUUCACAGUUGGAGAGACUAAUGUCAAAAGUAAUUGAUUCAGGUCAAAUAUAUGUGGUAAUUGAAACAUUUAAAAGCCCUUUUUAAGCUUUAGCAAGUAGGAAGCACGUAAAAAAUUCAAGGUCGCACCGAACUCCUCUCACGUGUAGAGGCUUUCUCUCUCUCUUGGGAAGAGAGCUUCUUUCUCCUUGGUGGGAACUUCAGCGUUUGAAACUUCAAAGCAACCAAUGAACACAGUUCAAAAGUUUGAAACUUUGCUAUCUUCCAGUUACCAAAAUUGUCUGCAUGUUGGGAUCGUAAAGCCAAGCAUUCACUAAGGAUCCAGAAUCAGAUAUCAUCAAGAAGGCAUAGUGAAGGAAACAAGAACAGGGGAGCGGGUUGUAGAAAAAAAAAAAAAAAAAAAAAAAAAAAAAAAAAGGUAAGGGUACUUCAGUUAGUCUAUUUCCUGAGCAACUGGUCGGAAAAUUCCAACAACUCUGGUUAAGGAAGGACGUCUAGUGAAGGUAUUUUAACUGUUCUUGCUCUUGUGCUCUUUUCCUUUUUCCUAGUACAUUUGGCUCAGCUAUUCAGCUCAGUGUGUUUGUCUGGAGAAAACGUUAUCUUCUUCUUAUUUUUACCUCUAUAGGGUUAGGUGUUUAGUGUGGCUGGUGGUAAGUGCUAGGAGUGCCGUCUGGUUUCAGCUUGGGUCAGAAUGGAGGAGGAAUUGGUGGAAGUGUUACAGAAAUUCGCCCUCUCAGAAAGGGAAGUAGGGGGUACCCUUCUGGAUUUGGGGGACCUAGAUGAGGGCAUUACAGAGUGCCAGGGUAGUAUCAUAGGGAAGAUACGGGGGGAGAAGAUUGCUAAUUUCACAGGAGUUAAAAAUUUUGCUACUGUGGCUUGGAGCUACCCUAAAGGUCUUAGAGUAGCUGAGUUAGGUCCUAAUGUUUUCCAAUUUACUAUCCCGGAUGCUAAGGAUAGGGAACGAAUUCUUGGAGGAGGGCCAUGGAUCAUAGACAACCAGAUUUUAGUGCUUAGAAAUUGGGAGGUGGGGAUAGAGGAGGAUGAAGACGCGUUUAGUGUAGCUCCUGUUUGGGUGCAGGUAUGGAACCUACCCAUACAUUGUCUGUCUAAGACAGUGGGAAAGAAAGUGGGAUCUAUCUUUAGUGAGGUUAGGGAGGUGUUAAUCCCUCAAUCAGGGGGCAAGGAGGGGAAACAUAUGAAACUUCUGGUUCUGAUAGAUAUUAAACAGCCUUUGUUGAGAGGUACAACAAUCCAGAUGAACGGGGUGAGUAAGUGGCUGUCUUUUAAAUAUGAAAAAUGUCCUGACUUCUGCUAUAGUUGUGGUGUCAUUGGGCACAGUGAAAAGAAUUGUAAGUGCCCUGUGAUGGUGAAAAAGGGACAAUACCAGAACCAGUAUGGACCUUGGAUGAGGGUGUUUGGGGGAAGAGGAUCUCCUCAGAAGGAAGGUACCCAAAAGAUGUGGACGCCACACAAGCAGGUAUGGAAGGUUAGAAAUGGGGAAAUGAUCAGAAUAGAGGAUUUAGAGAAACAGGAGAAAGGGGUAGGUCUGUAUGAGAAUAUGGAUUUGAGCAAGACAAAGGAAGUUAGGGGGGAAGAGAGCCAGACUCAUGAGUUAGAGAAGGGGGGACUCACUAUUGCAGAUAGGGAGAAGGCCGGUAGGAUAUUACCAAAUUGGAGCUCUGAGAAGGACAGGGAGAAGGUGAUAGGGAUGCAGGAGGGUAUUAAGAGUAGUACAGGAAUGGAUGUAGUACGAAUAUUGGAGGGUAGGAAUGAUGAGGUUACUAAUAUGGGAAAUACUGAGAAGGGAGAGGUUGGAAGGAUAGGAGAAGGUAAAGGAGGGGAACAAGAAAUACCCAGUUCAGGGGAGGAGCUAGUGAAUAUGGAAACAGAUGAAACCAUAAAUAAAGAAAACCAAGGAGGGUGUAGGAUAGAGGGGAAGAGGUUCAGGAGAGUGCACACUGGACCUAGAGAGAUUAGAACUCCUCUAAAGGAGCUCAAUGGGACAAAAAGGAAGUUUUAUCUGUGUGAUGAAGAAAUGACAGAUGUGGAGAACCAGGAUCACAUAGAUAAAAAGUAUAGGGGAGAACAGAUUGGAGGGAUAAGCAAGGAUUUGUCUGAAGGGGAUGGGAUCAGCCCUCACUGGUCCCCAAAGGACCAAUGAGAGCUAUGGUGUGGAAUUGCCAAGGAGCAGGGAGCCCCUUGACAAUUCCCCACCUGAAGGAGGUUAAAAACCUCCUCUCCCUGAACAUGAUAUUCCUGAGUGAGACUAAGAAUAAAGCUAAGUAUAUGGAGAAGGUGAAAAGGAUCCUGAAUUAUGAUAACUGUUAUGUGGUUGAAGCCAUGAAUAAGGCAGGGGGCAUGAGCCUGAUGUGGAAUGAGGAGACUAAAGUUAAGGAAAUUAAACAUUCUGCCUUUACAAUUGAGGUGUUGAUAGAGGAUGCAGAAGUGAAGAAGGAUUGGUGGCUGAUAGGGAUCUAUGCUAGUUGUGAUAACCAGCAGAGACGAGGGCAGUGGGAAGUCAUCAGUAGGAGGAAAGUUUUGUGGGGGGAAGACUGGCUUAUUAUGGGGGACUUUAAUGACUUAUGUUCUAAUGAGGAGAAGUGGGGAGGUAGAAUUAGGGAGGAGUGGAGUUUCUAUGACUUCAGAAAUUUUAUUCAGGAGAACCAGCUGGUUGAUUUGGGGUUUGAAGGUAACCCAUGGACUUGGAGUAAUCAGUGGCAAAAUGGAGAAAUUAGACAAAGGCUGGAUAGGGGUCUAAGUAGUGGAAGUUGGAGCAAUCUGUUUGAGCACCCCAAGUGUACUCAUUUAGAAAGCUUAGCCUCUGACCAUAGCAUGCUGAUUCUGGACACUAUUCCAGGGGUAAGGAGGAAAAAAAAGAGAUUCUGGUUUGACAAAAGAUGGGUCCAGAGAGAAGGUAUAGGAGAGGUGAUUAAGAAGGCCUGGGAUGAGGAUGUUAGAGGAUCCAGAAUGUUCAGAGUUAUGAAUAAGAUUAAGAGGUGUAGGGUUGCUCUGCUGAAGUGGAGAAAUGAUUUUAUUGAUAACACUAGGAAGAGGAUCUCUACUCUGAAGCAGCAACUGAUUAAGGAAAAAAGUUCAGAGGCUGAAGGUAGGAAAGGGAGAAUAGCUGUUUUGAAGAAUCAGUUAGUGGGAGCUUAUAGGGAAGAGGAACUGUAUUGGAGUCAGAAAGCAAGGCUCAACUGGCUUCAGGAAGGGGAUAAGAAUACUAAAUACUUCCAUGCAGUGGUGAAGGGGAGGAGAAAAAGGAAUAAUAUAGGUAAUUUGCAAAAAGAGGAUGGGUCCUGGACUACGGAUGACAAGGAGAUAGCAGAAGAGAUUGCUAGUUAUUAUAAGCAGCUUUUUAAGUCUUGUAGGACUGAUGAUUUUGAGGAGAUUCUGGAUGGCAUUCCUUGCACUAUUACUAGGCAGAUUAAUGAAAAUAUUACUAGACCUGUAGAGGAAAAUGAGAUAAAAGUAGCUGUUUUCUCCAUGAAUCCCAACAAGGCUCCAGGGCCUGAUGGGAUGACACCUCUCUUUUUUCAAAAAUUCUGGUUAACCAUCAAGGAGGAGGUUGUGAAUGCAAUCAGAUCUUUCUUUCACUCGGGCCACAUUCUCAAAUCUUUGAACCACACCACUAUAUCUCUUAUUCCUAAGGUAGAGUUGCCCACUGAUCUGAAGCAUUAUAGGCCUAUUAGCCUGUGUAAUGUUUUAUACAAAGUAAUCUCUAAGAUCCUAGCCAAUAGGCUGAAACCUGUCCUGGAUGUCUGUAUCAGCAAAAACCAGUCAGCCUUCAUACCAAACAGACAAAUCUUAGAUAAUAUUAUCAUUUCCCAUGAAUGUCUUCACUUCCUUAAAAACAAGAGACAAGGCAAGGAUGGUUAUACUGCUAUUAAAUUGGACAUGUCUAAAGCCUAUGACAGAGUUGAGUGGAGUUAUCUGAAAGCUGUUAUGGAAAGGAUGGGGUUCAAUUAUAUCUGGGUAGCAUGGAUUUUGGAUUGUAUUAGCUCAGUAUCAUACUCCUUCAAUGUUAAUGGAGAGACUAAGGAGUAUGUAAUCCCUUCAAGGGGCAUCAGGCAAGGUGACCCACUGUCACCUUACUUGUUUCUUUUAUGCUCUGAAGGUCUCUCAAACCUGUUAAGGAAAGCAGCACGACAAGGCAAGCUAAGUGGUUUAAGAAUCAGCAAACAAGGACCUGCUAUUACUCAUCUAUUUUUUGCUGAUGACACCCUAAUAUUCUGUAAAGCUGCGGGGGAGGAAGCAAGGACUUUGAAAGCUAUUCUGAAUCAGUAUGAGAAGGGAUCUGGUCAAGUCAUUAAUUUGGAAAAAUCUUCUAUCUGUUUUAGCAAAAACACUAAGGCUGAAGAUAAGAAGGAAACCUGUGAGUCUUUAGAAGGGGUUAGGAUAGUGAGCCAGGGUAAAUAUCUGGGCCUUCCUAUGGUGAUCACAAGGACAAAAGGUCAGAUUUUUGCCUACAUUAAAGACAGCAUAAAGACUAGGCUCAACAACUGGAAGAACAAGCUUCUAAGUGCAGCAGGGAAAGAGGUGAUGUUAAAAGCUGUGACAAUGGCCAUGCCAAUCUAUGCAAUGUCUUGCUUCAAGUUACCAGUUACACUUUGCAAGGAAAUCUCAGGACUAAUGGCUAAAUACUGGUGGGGUGAAGUAGGAGGGAGAAACAAAAUGCAUUGGUGUUCAUGGGACAGGAUGAUGAAGGCAAAAAUGGAUGGAGGUUUGGGGUUCAGGAAUUUAAGAUGUUUCAACAAGGCGUUACUGGGAAAGCAGAUUUGGAGGAUGCUCAGAUUUCCAAACCUGCUGGUAAGCAAAAUCUUAAAAGCUAAGUACUUCCCUAAGGACUCCAUUUUGAACUGUAAAAUCCCCAAAAAUUCGUCCUGGUUCUGGCAGAGUAUAAUGUCAGCUAGGGAGGUAGUUAAGGGAGGGGUACUGAAGAGGGUAGGAUCAGGGAAGAGUAUUAGAAUUUGGAAAGAUCAAUGGAUCCCAAACAAUCUGAAUGGAAGACCAACUACAAUGAGGGCAGAUAGGGGGGAGGAGCAGAGAGUGGAGGAACUAAUUACAAACUUCAGAUGGAAUAGGAAUGAAGUCUACAGGAGGUUCAAUAGGGAGGAUGCGGAUAACAUACUGAAAAUACCAAUCAGUCUGUCAAAUUCUGGGGACAAGCACUUCUGGAUACAUAGCAGACAGGGAGAAUACUCAGUAAAAUCCUGCUACCAGACUUUACUCAAGGAAGAGAAAAGGAAAGAAAGUGAUGCGAGAGGAGAGUCUGGGUCGAGCUAUGAUGACUCCAACACACAAAUCUGGAAAACUCUUUGGGAGCUGAACAUUAAACAUAAGAUCAAGCUAUUCAUAUGGAGAUGCAUUACGAAUACGCUGACAGCUAGGGAAUCGAUCUUCAGGAGAACAAAGCAAGGAUCGCCAUUUUGCUCAAGAUGUGGGGAUGGAAUAGAAACAGUAGAACACAUCUUGUUCCACUGUCAUCAGGCCCAGAAGGUUUGGAAGCUGGCACCAGUACAAUGGGAUGGUUUACAGAAUCAAACAGGAUGCUUCAAGCAAUGGUGGUCAGCAUUAGUCCAAUCCAGAAAUAGAAAUGGAGGAAGGCAGCAUAUUGGAUUGACAGCUAAUAUACUGUGGCAGCUAUGGAAGGACAGAAAUGAAAUGGAGUUUGAAGGGAAAGAGAGAGAUGGAUGGAAAGCUGUACAUAAAGCUAGCACGGAAUGGAUGGAGUAUGAGGAAGCUGGAAAAAGGAUGAAUGAGGAAAGCACACUAGAAACAGAUGAAGCAAGAGAAAGAGCUAGGGAGGAAGGAAGGGAGGAGGAAGACAUGAUGGAACUUCAAGUAGCUACUAAGAGAUCAGCUGAGGGUAAGAGGUUGGGAAUUGGGGUUGUAGCUAGGCAGAAUGGAGGGAGAAUCAGAGCUGAAUGGAAGUUAAUUGAAAGAAGUUCGGACAGGGAUAUUCAGGAUGAAGCCGAAGCAGUAAGAUUGACUAUGUUGAAAGCAAGACAGUUGAGCUGGCAGAAAAUCAAAAUCAUCAAUGCUAAUAAACAGCUUAUUGCCAUGCUUAAAACUGGGAUAGGGGACAACCCAAAUACUGCUACAUUGGUUGAGGAUAUACAAGCGUUAGCUAAUCUGUUUCAAGUGUGCACUUUUGAAGAAAGAACUAGUAGUAAUAUGACUCUAUGUAAUCACAUUAGCCAUUAUGCUUUAAGCAUACUUAGGGAUGAGGAGAGGUUUUUUGGCUCUCCUUAAGUGUCUUGGUACACUUAGUAUAGUUGAUUGGGCCUUUGCUCAGAUAUUGUAAAGUUAGUUUCUUAUAAAAUGACAUCUAUCGUUUCCGGAAAAAAAAAAAAAAGUAGGAAGCACGUAUAAAUCUGCCAUCAUUUUUUGGUUAAAUGGUACGUCAAUAGUUGAACUUUGCCUUUUCACUCAUUUCGAGCAAUCAAUCAUAAGAGGAAAUAGACCAACUCACUCGCGUAUCCAAGUAGCAUUCGGCAGCCAGGAGGAAUUGCAUUGCAUGCGCUUCUUAUUCAAACACACAAUAAUUUGCUGGUACAUUUUAUUUUACAUAAAACGUCGUUGCUCCAAGAGACUUCUAGUCUUGAAGCUCAUUUAUUCUUUCUAGGCAAAUUAUUAGAAGCACAUUCGUUGAUUGAUUCAUUCAGCGCUCCUCCUGAUUAAGCUGAACAUUUACGGUUCUUGCCACAGAUACGGCCCAAACGAGGUGAUGGUAUAUUAUUAACAAGUGCAACAACGGUUUUCUCGACAUUUGCCGCAACAAUAGCAUCAUAACUCUCACUCGAAUCCUCUCCUCCUUCUGCUCCAGCUGAAUUAGCCAGUCCGCGGAUGGCAAUCACUUGCUGGCCACUCGACAAGGAUGUCUGCACACAACCAAAGACAAGUCAAUUUGCUGCUUCCUACUGUUUUCUUGGGGUCAGUUUGAGAGGAUAAAUUUGAGAUCAGAUAUUCAAUUGCAGGGAAGACUCUUCAAAUUGGUUCUAGUUUGAUGAAGAAACGCUUUUACAAAAGAAUAAAGUAGCAGAAAGCAGUGAGGAUGAAAGUACUCGAUCUGGUAACAAGACAAUAAAAAUUAC